rnacentral:rRNA from 1 species
UACGGAGGAUGCAAGCGUUAUCCGGAAUGAUUGGGCGUAAAGCGUCCGCAGGUGGCAAUGUAAGUCUGCUGUUAAAGAGUCUAGCUCAACUAGAUAAGAGCAGUGGAAACUACAUAGCUAGAGUACGUUCGGGGCAGAGGGAAUUCCUGGUGUAGCGGUGAAAUGCGUAGAGGUCAGGAAGAACACCGGUGGCGAAGGCGCUCUGCUAGGCCGCAACUGACACUGAGGGACGAAAGCUAGGGGAGCGAAUGGG